rnacentral:tRNA from 1 species
GCUGGAUUGGCUGAGUGGCCGAAAGCAACGGUUUUGUAAGCCGUAGGGGCAACCCCAUCGCAGGUUCGACUCCUGUGUCCAGCUCCA